GCUUGUCUCAAAGAUUAAGCCAUGCAUGUCUAAGUACAAGCCUCAGUAAGGUGAAACCGCGAAUGGCUCAUUAAAUCACACCUAAUCUACUGGAAAGUUACUAGUUACUUGGAUAACUGAGGUAAUUCUUGAGCUAAUACAUGCGAAAAAUCUCGACUCACGGAGAGAUGCUUUUAUUAGACUAAAACCAAACGGCUUCGGCCGUUCCACUGGUGAAUCUGAAUAACUUUGAGCGGAUCGCACGGCCUUGUGCCGGCGACGUGUCCUUCCAAGGUGUGCCCUAUCAACUGUCGACUGUGAUAUAGACGCUCACAGUGGUUUUGACGGGUAACGGGGAAUCAGGGUUCGAUUCCGGAGAGGGAGCCUUAAAAACGGCUACCACAUCCAAGGAAGGCAGCAGG
rnacentral:rRNA from 1 species